UAAAAAUUAGUUAAUUUAUAAUAUAAAUAUGUCAUAUUUAAGUAAUUUAAUUUUAAUAAAUAUUUUUAU
rnacentral:tRNA from 1 species